CGCAUUCAGUUGCCAUCGGGUAAUGCCGGGCACUCUGGAAGGACUGCCAUCGACAAGAUGGAGGAAGUGGGGAGUGACGUCAAGUCAUCAUGGCCCUUAUGUCCAGGGCGACACACGUGCUACAAUGGCCGGCACAACGGGAAGCGAGUUCGCGAGGACGAGCGGAAUCCCUUAAAGCCGGUCGCAGUUCGGAUUGAAGUCUGCAACUCGACUUCAUGAAGCUGGAAUCGCUAGUAAUCGUGGAUCAGCCAAGCCGCGGUGAAUACGUUCCCGGGCCUU
rnacentral:rRNA from 1 species